rnacentral:rRNA from 1 species
GAUGAACGUUGGCGGCGUGCCUAAUACAUGCAAGUCGAACGAAGACUGUAGUAAUACUGUCUUAGUGGCGAACGGGUGAGUAACGCGUGGGUGACCUGCCCCGAAGUGUGGGAUAACAGUUCGAAAGGAUUGCUAAUACUGCAUAAUAUCCAAGAGAUUAGACGCUUUUUGGAUUAAAGGAGUAAUUCGCUUCGGGAGGGGCCCGCGUCCCAUCAGCUAGUUGGUAAGGUAAUGGCUUACCAAGGCGAUGACGGGUAGGGGACCUGAGAGGGUGGCCCCCACAAUGGAACUGAAACACGGUCCAUACACCUACGGGUGGCAGCAGUAGGGAAUAUUAGUAAUGGGCGAAAGCCUGAACUAGCAACGCCGCGUGUGCGAAGAAGGCCUUCGGGUUGUAAAGCACUUUUUGAGAGGAUGAGGAAGGACGGUACUCUCAGAAUAAGUCUCGGCUAACUACGUGCCAGCAGCCGCGGUAAGAGUGUGUGUA